GAAUCUGGGAUACAUUCAAGAGUCCAAGCCUGCUGCUCUCUAGGAAUGCAGACUGAACAAUAAGAUGUAAAGUUUGCUGGAACAGCGCCCACAGACCCAGGCUCACACCACUGUGAUCAUCAGGGUCCUUCAUAUUGGAACAACAAUAAAGAGAGCAAAGACCAGGACCAGAAGAAAAGCAAGACCUUGAACAGUAAAGAAUGUGAGAUGCAGAAUCUAAGCACAGUAGAUUAAUUCUUCAGACUCCUUGGCUGUCCCUCCUCAAAAAGACUGCAAGGACCAAGACGGCCGGUAUUCAGGGAACCUCCUUAUGUCAUUUACAAAGAGUUCUAUUGUUCUAGUCUAUUUGGGGCCCCAGUAAAGCACACUGAGGCUGGGGGCACAUCCAGUACUUUGCUCAUGCUCACACUGAUAGAGGAUGCUGGAGAUGCACAGAAAUGGAGAAGACAAUGGAUACUGAGGUAAGGAGGCUGGGGAAACAGAGGGUGGGGGCUAAAGACCACAAAGAUGCACACUGAUAGGAGGAACAGACUUUAAGGGUUAAUUGCAUCAUAGGCAAAACAGCAUCAGAACAGAUUAAAUGCAUUAUCCCUGAUAUUACAUAAAUAUUAUAUAGUCAACAGUGUUAUAUAAGUCAAAGUAGCCAGAUAAAUACUUUAAAUGCCUUCACUACAAAGAAAUGUUUUAGAACAUGGAUAAUCGAGAUAUUCUGAGUCAACCAUUAUAAUUUGGUAAUGUAUACUUAUAUUAAAAUAGUAUGCUAUGUUCCAGAAGUAUAUACAAUUAUCAUCUGUCAAUCAAGAAAUGAACUAAUUUAAA
rnacentral:lncRNA from 1 species